rnacentral:tRNA from 1 species
GCCCUCGUAGCUCAAUGGAUAGAGCAAGGCUCUUCUAAAGCCAAGAUAGGGGUCCGAUUCCUCUCGAGGGCG